GGAGAUUGCUUUUGGUUCAGUCUGGACCUGAUUUUGAUGUUUUUGAUUUAUUGUUGAACUUGUUUGGGGAGCUUGUUUGUAUUGGUUGUGGUAAAAUUGAUUUUUGGCGUUUAUGAUUGUCGAUUCGGUUUGCUGUGUAGAGGAGUUGAAGCAAGUUCUUGUCUUGAUUGAAAAGAGAAGAGGUUCUUGGCUGCAUUGGUCAGUUGCAUGA
rnacentral:lncRNA from 1 species